CAAGGAGUCUAACAUGUACGCGAGUCAUUGGGUGAACUAAACCCAAAGGCGCAAUGAAAGUGAAGGUUUCCUUCGGAACUGUAGGGAGGAUCCGUGGACGGCGACGGCUUGCCCUUCGGGGUGAACGCUCCCUUCCCGGCGCACUCCCGGGGCGUCCAAGACCGCCACUUGACGGUCGGGCGCACCAAGAGCGUACACGUUGGGACCCGAAAGAUGGUGAACUAUGCCUGGCCAGGACGAAGCCAGAGGAAACUCUGGUGGAGGUCCGUAGCGAUUCUGACGUGCAAAUCGAUCGUCGGAGCUGGGUUUAGGGGCGAAAGACUAAUCGAACCAUCUAGUAGCUGGUUCCCUCCGAAGUUUCCCUCAGGAUAGCUGGUACUCGGAGGAGUUGGAAGGCUUUAUCAGUCUCAUCCGGUAAAGCGAAUGAUUAGAGGCCUUGGGGCCGAAAUGACCUCAACCUAUUCUCAAACUUUAAAGGGGUGAGAAGUCGAGCUUGCUUGACGCAACAUAUGUUUGAAGCUUGACGAUGGAUGAAAGAGUACCAAGUGGGCCACUUUUGGUAAGCAGAACUGGCGCUGUGGGAUGAACCAAACGCCGGGUUACGGCGCCCGAUGCGACGCUCAUUAGACCCCAUGAAAGGUGUUGGUUGCU
rnacentral:rRNA from 1 species